rnacentral:rRNA from 1 species
UUGUAAUCUCUAGAAAUGUUUUCCGCGUUGGACCUCACACAAGUCUGUUGGAAUACAGCGGCAUAGUGGUGAGACCCCCGUAUAUGGUGCGGACGCCCAGCGCUUUGUGAUACAUUUUCGAAGAGUCGAGUUGUUUGGGAAUGCAGCUCAAAUUGGGUGGUAAAUUCCAUCUAAAGCUAAAUAUUGGCGAGAGACCGAUAGCGAACAAGUACCGUGAGGGAAAGAUGAAAAGCACUUUGGAAAGAGAGUUAACAGUACGUGAAAUUGUUGGAAGGGAAACGCUUGAAGUCAGACUUGCUUGCCGAGCAAUCGGUUUGCAGGCCAGCAUCAGUUUUCCGGGAUGGAUAAUGGUAGAGAGAAGGUAGCAGUUUCGGCUGUGUUAUAGCUCUCUGCUGGAUACAUCUUGGGGGACUGAGGAACGCAGUGUGCCUUUGGCGGGGGUUUCGACCUCUUCACACUUAGGAUGCUGGUGGAAUGGCUUUAAACGACCCGUCU